rnacentral:rRNA from 1 species
UACGGAGGGUGCAAGCGUUAUCCGGAUUUACUGGGUUUAAAGGGUGCGUAGGUGGGUAGGUAAGUCAGUGGUGAAAUCUUCGAGCUUAACUCGGAAACUGCCAUUGAUACUAUUUAUCUUGAAUACUUUGGAGGUAAGCGGAAUAUGUCAUGUAGCGGUGAAAUGCUUAGAUAUGACAGAGAACACCAAUUGCGAAGGCAGCUUACUACACAGUCAUUGACACUGAGGCACGAAAGCGUGGGGAUCAAACAGG